ACUCGCCUGCAUGAAGGCGGAAUUGCUAGUAAUCGCGAAUCAGAAUGUCGCGGUGAAUACGUUCCCGGGCCUUGUACACACCGCCCGUCACACCAUGAGAGUCGAUAACACCCGAAGCCUGUAGUCUAACCGCAAGGAGGACGCAGUCGAAGGUGGGAUUGAUGACUGGGGUGAAGUCGUAACAAGGUAAC
rnacentral:rRNA from 1 species